rnacentral:rRNA from 2 species
GAGCGGCGGACGGGUGAGUAAUGCCUAGGAAAUUGCCCUGAUGUGGGGGAUAACCAUUGGAAACGAUGGCUAAUACCGCAUAAUGCCUACGGGCCAAAGAGGGGGACCUUCGGGCCUCUCGCGUCAGGAUAUGCCUAGGUGGGAUUAGCUAGUUGGUGAGGUAAUGGCUCACCAAGGCGACGAUCCCUAGCUGGUCUGAGAGGAUGAUCAGCCACACUGGAACUGAGACACGGUCCAGACUCCUACGGGAGGCAGCAGUGGGGAAUAUUGCACAAUGGGCGCAAGCCUGAUGCAGCCAUGCCGCGUGUGUGAAGAAGGCCUUCGGGUUGUAAAGCACUUUCAGUCGUGAGGAAGGUGGUGGAGUUAAUAGCACUAUCAUUUGACGUUAGCGACAGAAGAAGCACCGGCUAACUCCGUGCCAGCAGCCGCGGUAAUACGGAGGGUGCGAGCGUUAAUCGGAAUUACUGGGCGUAAAGCGCAUGCAGGUGGUUUGUUAAGUCAGAUGUGAAAGCCCGGGGCUCAACCUCGGAAUAGCAUUUGAAACUGGCAGACUAGAGUACUGUAGAGGGGGGUAGAAUUUCAGGUGUAGCGGUGAAAUGCGUAGAGAUCUGAAGGAAUACCGGUGGCGAAGGCGGCCCCCUGGACAGAUACUGACACUCAGAUGCGAAAGCGUGGGGAGCAAACAGGAUUAGAUACCCUGGUAGUCCACGCCGUAAACGAUGUCUACUUGGAGGUUGUGGCCUUGAGCCGUGGCUUUCGGAGCUAACGCGUUAAGUAGACCGCCUGGGGAGUACGGUCGCAAGAUUAAAACUCAAAUGAAUUGACGGGGGCCCGCACAAGCGGUGGAGCAUGUGGUUUAAUUCGAUGCAACGCGAAGAACCUUACCUACUCUUGACAUCCAGAGAACUUUCCAGAGAUGGAUUGGUGCCUUCGGGAACUCUGAGACAGGUGCUGCAUGGCUGUCGUCAGCUCGUGUUGUGAAAUGUUGGGUUAAGUCCCGCAACGAGCGCAACCCUUAUCCUUGUUUGCCAGCGAGUAAUGUCGGGAACUCCAGGGAGACUGCCGGUGAUAAACCGGAGGAAGGUGGGGACGACGUCAAGUCAUCAUGGCCCUUACGAGUAGGGCUACACACGUGCUACAAUGGCGCAUACAGAGGGCAGCAAGCUAGCGAUAGUGAGCGAAUCCCAAAAAGUGCGUCGUAGUCCGGAUUGGAGUCUGCAACUCGACUCCAUGAAGUCGGAAUCGCUAGUAAUCGUGGAUCAGAAUGCCACGGUGAAUACGUUCCCGGGCCUUGUACACACCGCCCGUCACACCAUGGGAGUGGG